AGUUACAUCCGGGAAUUGUUAAAUUCCCCUGCACGUUGUGUUUAGUUGUCAUUUGCACAUUAACUUGAACAGGACUGCAUACGGUAACAUCAAAAAGACACGAGCAUGGGUUUUAUUAUUCUUCUCUUGACAAUACUGGUGCCAUUUUGUCUGGCCGGUGAAUCUUGUUCAAAAGAAUCAUGUGACUGUGGAAUAGAUGGCAAGUAAAAGAAUGAACUUGGAUCUACAAUGACCCUGUCCUACAAGGAUGGCCAGCUUGAGGGUAUAUACAACACAGCCGUCGGACAAGCCGAAAACGACUAUAUUUUAUCCGGCAGAUACACACUUUCUGGACCCAAGAAUGACGUGGUAGAACUUGGCUGGGUUGUCUCCUGGAAUAACAAGAAAUUUGGAAACUCCCAUUCAGCGACAGCAUGGUCAGGAAUAUAUUAUCCGGAAGAUGGAAUUAUCCGAACACAGUGGAUGUUGGUACGCUACGCAGAGAGUAAAGACUACUGGAGUACAACUCAAAUUAAUCAUGACGAAUUCAUACGAGUUAAAUAAUGUAAUAUUGUUGACUAGAAUUUUGUUUCUGUAGAUCAUGCUUACGAACAAAUUUACUCAAGGUUUUUUUUUUUAUAUAGAAUACACUGACGCACGAAUUCACUUAUUUUUUUAUAUUUGUAGAACACACUUUUAACAAAUUGACUAGAAUGUUUGUAGAACACGCUCAAGAACACAUUUACCAGAACCUAUGUCUUUUUAAAAUACGCUAACGGUCAAAUUAAAUCAUUUUUUUCAUAUUUGUAGAACACACGAACAAAUUUAGAAGAUGUUUUUAGAACACGCUUUUAAACUAAUUAAAUAUCACCUAUUUAUAAAAUGCUAACGAACAAAUUUGCUAGAAUAUUUUUUGUAUAGCACGCUUAAAUAGAUUUUUUAUAUAAUUUCUUUUUGUAGAAAGCACAUAAUUAUAGCAUUCUGUUUUGUUUUUAUUUUUUGUAUAACACGCUUACAAUCAUACAAAUUUACUAGAAUUUUCUUUUUGUAGAAUGGUUUACGUUCAAUUUUACUAUAUUUUGUUUUAUGCGUCGUGGAAUUCGCUGACAUUCAAAUUUAAUAGAAGUUUUGUUUUCUAGAACAUGCUUAUGUACAAAAGUACUUGUUUUGUCAUGAAUAAAGAUCGUAAGGAAUA